rnacentral:rRNA from 1 species
AGAGUUUGAUCAUGGCUCAGAUUGAACGCUGGCGGCAGGCCUAACACAUGCAAGUCGAACGGUAACAGGAAGCAGCUUGCUGCUUUGCUGACGAGUGGCGGACGGGUGAGUAAUGUCUGGGAAACUGCCUGAUGGAGGGGGAUAACUACUGGAAACGGUGGCUAAUACCGCAUAACGUCGCAAGACCAAAGAGGGGGACCUUCGGGCCUCUUGCCAUCAGAUGUGCCCAGAUGGGAUUAGCUUGUUGGUGAGGUAACGGCUCACCAAGGCGACGAUCCCUAGCUGGUCUGAGAGGAUGACCAGCCACACUGGAACUGAGACACGGUCCAGACUCCUACGGGAGGCAGCAGUGGGGAAUAUUGCACAAUGGGCGCAAGCCUGAUGCAGCCAUGCCGCGUGUAUGAAGAAGGCCUUCGGGUUGUAAAGUACUUUCAGCGGGGAGGAAGGUGUUGUGGUUAAUAACCGCAGCAAUUGACGUUACCCGCAGAAGAAGCACCGGCUAACUCCGUGCCAGCAGCCGCGGUAAUACGGAGGGUGCAAGCGUUAAUCGGAAUUACUGGGCGUAAAGCGCACGCAGGCGGUCUGUCAAGUCGGAUGUGAAAUCCCCGGGCUCAACCUGGGAACUGCAUUCGAAACUGGCAGGCUUGAGUCUUGUAGAGGGGGGUAGAAUUCCAGGUGUAGCGGUGAAAUGCGUAGAGAUCUGGAGGAAUACCGGUGGCGAAGGCGGCCCCCUGGACAAAGACUGACGCUCAGGUGCGAAAGCGUGGGGAGCAAACAGGAUUAGAUACCCUGGUAGUCCACGCCGUAAACGAUGUCUACUUGGAGGUUGUGCCCUUGAGGCGUGGCUUCCGGAGCUAACGCGUUAAGUAGACCGCCUGGGGAGUACGGCCGCAAGGUUAAAACUCAAAUGAAUUGACGGGGGCCCGCACAAGCGGUGGAGCAUGUGGUUUAAUUCGAUGCAACGCGAAGAACCUUACCUGGUCUUGACAUCCACAGAACUUUCCAGAGAUGGAUUGGUGCCUUCGGGAACUGUGAGACAGGUGCUGCAUGGCUGUCGUCAGCUCGUGUUGUGAAAUGUUGGGUUAAGUCCCGCAACGAGCGCAACCCUUAUCCUUUGUUGCCAGCGGUCCGGCCGGGAACUCAAAGGAGACUGCCAGUGAUAAACUGGAGGAAGGUGGGGAUGACGUCAAGUCAUCAUGGCCCUUACGACCAGGGCUACACACGUGCUACAAUGGCGCAUACAAAGAGAAGCGACCUCGCGAGAGCAAGCGGACCUCAUAAAGUGCGUCGUAGUCCGGAUUGGAGUCUGCAACUCGACUCCAUGAAGUCGGAAUCGCUAGUAAUCGUGGAUCAGAAUGCCACGGUGAAUACGUUCCCGGGCCUUGUACACACCGCCCGUCACACCAUGGGAGUGGGUUGCAAAAAGAAGUAGGUAGCUUAACCUUCGGGAGGGCGCUUACCACUUUGUGAUUCAUGACUGGGGUGAAGUCGUAACAAGGUAACCGUAGGGGAACCUGCGGUUGGAUCACCU